UACGGGGGGGGCAAGCGUUGUUCGGAAUUACUGGGCGUAAAGGGUUCGUAGGUGGCCAACUAAGUCAGACGUGAAAUCCCUCAGCUCAACUGGGGAACUGCGUCUGAUACUGGUCGGCUUGAGUGCAGGAGAGGAACGCGGAAUUCCAGGUGUAGCGGUGAAAUGCGUAGAUAUCUGGAGGAACACCAAUGGCGAAGGCAGCUCGCUGGGACGGUGCUGACGCUGAGGCGCGAAAGCGUGGGGAGCAAACAGG
rnacentral:rRNA from 1 species